UGAUCAAAUGAUGAUUUUGGAUUAAUAUUCUCACGACGGUCGUCUGAAGACACUAAUUCUUGUGUCUUUUUUGAUGUAUUUCAUCCGAUUUUCUGAUGAUU